GUCCACCGGCCCGGGUUGGAGUUUUUUGGGGGGCGGGGGGAAGUCCUUUUAAGUUGCUAUUGCCAGAGUCCCGAUCGUGUCACAUAGACGUGAUAUCACUGCAGCAACACGCUGUGCACACUUCUGGGCUGGAUAGAGAACAGCAAAAAGCGGCCGAGGAAAUGCGCGCAGUCAUCCGACGACAAGCAGCCCCAGCGGGGAGGAGGAAGAAGAUGAGAAUACGGACUUGUGGAAAGAAUAAGUGCACCUGCACCUUUUAAAAGCUGUGAGUGUGUUGGAGGAACGUCACGGUCCCGCCGAAGAUGAGGAGCGCCUUUGAGUGAGUCAAGUUACGUCCGUUCGCAGAUGUGCGCUUCUGUCGCAGGUGCCAUGCGCGCUUUUAGUCCCCUUUACAUCCACAUCGCUUAGUUUCUUUCUUGGGAGUAUCAGUGGAAGAAGCCAAGCAGGGUAGAUGACGUGCCAUUUGUGCUCCACCACCAGUGUCCGCAUUCCAGGUGCUGUUGCGCACAUUGAAAUGGAAGUAAACAAGUGGGGAUAGUGGCUCUGUGGAGCUGCAAACCCGUGUUUUCAUCAGCAAGGACAUCGCUCCCGGCAUGGCGGGAAAUAUCCUGAUCCAUUUAGAUCAAAUUGAAAGAAAAAAGCCAUACUGGAGGGUCAGUUUGAGCUGCCAAGAACAAGUUGUUGAGCAGUCCUUCUGACAUUUAAUGAGGAUUCGCGUGGGAGAAAGCACUUCUCUAACUUAUGGAGGACUUGUGCAAAAAAAGGUUAGGAUAAAUAUAGUAGUAGUGGUAGGCGAUUGAUCCAAUACCAAUAAAUACAAUAAUUCCAGAUACCAAUACUUUAUACUUCAAUUAUUUAGUGGUUUUGCUUUUCAUUUGUGAUGGUGAUAAUAAUCAGACUAAAACACAUGACAUUACUGUAUCAACUUCUUUUUCCAACUAUGUCACAAUAUCAACCAAAUAUAACAAUUAUUCCCUUAUUUUUUUAGCUAAGAAAUGCAAAAAACAGUACUGACAAUUGUUGCCCCAAAUUGUUGCCCCAAAGACCUGCUGUAUCCACAAACCUAUUCUCUGAGUUUGUAGCAAAUAACAGUAUCAAAAACACAAAAGAAACACACAGAUAUUUCUGAAAAUGACUAUAAAAUAUCCAACACAAAAGUGCUGAUUCACAGCAGGGUGACCAGAUCAGAGUCAUUUAAGCUUUGUGCCAGAGGGUUCCAAACUUUCCAGCGAGGGCCGCAAACAGACAAUAUUGAAGAAGGAAGGGAAAACACAUCACACAUUGCUUUAGUCACUUUGUCAUUCCGUUUUUUUUUACAUUGUAAAAAUUGUGAUUGUGUUAAAUGAAUAUAGAUAAGAUUUGUCAGAGGAUAUUUAUUUUAGAAUUGGCAUCUCUAAGCAAAUGGUGAUGUAUCUUGUUGUAAAAUAAUACAUACUGACCUUCAAAGGGUUAAAAAUCCACAAAUUUUAAUUAAUAUUUGAUAUGUAUAUUUUAUACUGAAGUUGUUCUAAAAAAACAAGAAAUGUUUGGUCCUUAGGACGUUUAGCGCAAGUUGUUUAUUUAAUUUGACAAUAUUAAAAAUCACAACGAAUGGAAAUCAGGAAGUUGUUUCGUCACAAAAUAAAAAUCAUUGAAUCCGAUCCCAUCUAUCCAUCGCUUGGUGUCUUUUCAUAUGAUAUUUGUGCAAAAGCUCUGUUGUUUUAUGACCCUUUUUUCACCACAGUGGUCAUUUUGCUUCAUAAUUAGCAGCAUUUGCUAAAGGGAUGUUUCCUCUGUUAAAUCAUGGUGAGAAUCUGGAUAAAGGAUCGAUACGGCAAGUUUUGUUCAUUCUCAGAGUCACGAUGUACCAGGAAGUAGUGUUCUGGCCUCAGUGGAGGUCUGUAUGGCUGCUGUGAUUGGCAUUAGGUUGUUCUCGAACUCACUCAUGCCAGGUGCCACACACAACCAGCUGUCAAAUCUUGAAACAAGGAACUCGUUUUGUUGGGUUUUGUGUUGUUUAGUCGUCUUUUUCCUGUAUAUUAUAGGUCAAAAUUCACAGCUUUGACAUUUCCUUAAGGGUAAAAUGUUCUUUGAAUGCAGCAUUUGUAUUUCACGAAGUAAACAAAGUAACAAAUGCUCCCAAACAAGUCAGAGCAGUGUCGAACACCGGCUUCGUUGUCCUUGCCUUCUUUCAUGAUAGAGAAAUGUGUGAUAAUCCCGUGGCAUUAACCAGCGUUAAUCUCGCUGUGUUUUCCUUCAUUACGAACAAAUCUGUCACCCCUUUCAAGCUAAUUUAAACAGCAGUUUCCAGCCACAACAUUAGGAACAUCUGCACAUCCUGGUGGGAUCCAGUAGAAGAGCAAGCCAAACUGAACAACAUGUUUAUUAUUCUGGCUAUUUACUGUAUAAUAUAUGCAGAUAAAAUGGCUGACAAUUUGGUGAAUAUUUGUACUUCCGUCAAAGAGAAUGGCAUAGUUACUCACGGUGCAACAUAACAAAAACGCAACACGCAUCACAUAUUGUAUAUCAACGACGGUGACAACGUGGGUGAUAAACAAUAGCGAACCGGUAAAUGUAACACAUAACUUCAGCUGUUAUUUACAAGUGCCUGCAAGGCAUGCUGGGUAGCCCAGCAGCAACAACAAUACAAAUAUUGGAUACGAAGAGUAUGUUAAUGUCCGUCCUUCUUCACGUGCCUGAUGAGCUCCCCAACAUAUCAGCCAAGCAAAAAUGUUGGUAGAGAGAGUAUCACAAGCUACCCGGUAUGCCUUGCGGCAGGACUAUAUGGGUGUAUUGUUGGCAUGGGUAUUUUGCGUAGAUAUUAUAUGUAUGCACACAUGGUGUCGUGGGAAGGUUACGUUGUGCAUCACUUGUGUGUUGACGUGUUGCGUUGUUUGGAUCGCCCUUUUGUACAAGCUACAGACCGCCUCUGACUAUUUUCCUGUAUGACUCAAGCGUGCCACAAUAGCGCUGCAAGUCAUGUUGCCGGAUACAGCUUUGAUGUUAAAGGUCUAAAAAAAAGGAUUUGGAAAAAAUGCCAAUAGGCCAGAUGAGGACGUUUGGCGGCUCUGAUGUGGCCCGCAGGCUGCAGUCUACCCACCCCUGGUAUAAAUAGUAACAGUGUGACAGACAGAACUGUCCAGUGGCGUUGCCAUUAAUGACUGACGUGUCGAGCGGCCAAUGACUGCACAAACAAAGGGUCGGUUUCUACACUGGUGUUCUGCUUGCAGUGACUACCAUGUGACCCGGCCAAUGCCUACAUGACCAGUGAGUGACUGAGACUUGUCAUGGUAUCCCUACAGCCUGGCCAAUGACUAUAUGAACAAAGAGUAGGCCAUUGAUCGUAUAGCGUUUGAACAGUCUAGAAACACUGCAAGAAGGUGGGACCUCCUGUGAGCCACAGGGCAAUAGAGCAAUGAAUGUCGAUGGAGGCCUGUCAUGAUUGCCAUUCAGCCUGGCCAAUGACUGUACAGUGGUUCAACCAUGAGAGAUACUGCAUGGAGGUAUAGUGGUUGAUGCACAGUGUUUGAUUAAGUUUUUUUUUCCUGUGUAUCUGUUUUUGUCUUCGCUGUACAAGACAGUCCUGCGUUGUGCACGUCAUGCGCAUGGCCUCGGUCAGGUGUUUAUGCUUGCCUUCUUUCUAAUAUAAAUGAGCCACAUUGCUGCUUGUAGCCAUAACAUGCGAACACAGGCGAAUCUGAGAAAUGAGCCCAUUACUUUUUUUCCUCAAGUGUGUUUUUGCUGAAUAAUUGAAGUAAAUGGGACAGCAGUUUUUUUUGUGUGUGUCUUAUUGUGAGCUCGAACAGCCAGCUGUGAAAGUCGUAUUUCCGCUGGGUUUAUGUGGUCAUAAUUAGCACCUCCCAUGUGAUUCUGUGAGUGUGUGCGUGCGUGUGAAUACAAUGCGAUGAGGGGUGUGCUUGUGUUUACAUGACAGCCGACCAAGAGGGGAAGUGACGCAGGAGUCGGUCUUAAAGGGGAAUAGCAGACAUGCUGCAGAAAAUCAAGAGAGACAGGGGACAGGAAGGGUUAGGACAACAUAGCGAGAUAAAACAUACGUAGUUUAGGAACAGUGACGCGCAACUCGACACACAUGAACUCAGUCAUUGUUCACACUGGUUUUGGCCAAUUUGAUUAUGAAAUGUGUUUACCCUCUCGCUCGCUAUAAAAGUAGUGACACAAGGUUGUGUUUGUUCAGAGCUUGGCCUGUUCCAAUUCUGAGCCAACAUCCCCGCUUGCUAUUCACGGUGACCUCAUCAUCUCUCUAGCUAACUCGCCUGCCAAACUGGAGCCCUCUCGAACCUUCUUGGCUGUGAAACUUUCGCAACACAUACAACUAUUGACAUCUCGACAAAUGCUUCUCGACAUACGAAGAAAGACUCAAAGAAGCAAACAUGGAGGUUAGUCAAGUGUGGUAGUCAACUUUCAACACCCAAACACUUUGUGUUUGUGAUUCCAGCCAUUGACGUUACAGCACUUUUAUAUUCAGGGACUUUGUAAGGAGGCAGGCCCUAAAACAAAAAGCAAGUCACAGGGCAACGGAAGAAUGAAUGCAGACUGUGGUUUGUCACAUUGCCGCCUAGUCACUGAUAGCAUGAUCAGUAAGUCGGCUGAUGCUUUAUUUUUGUCCCAUGUUCUACUAUUAUUCAACAUUACUUUUGAAAUGACUUUUCAUUCAUGCACACUUGCACGAUGUAAUAGAUGCUGUGUACAGUCAGGACACAAACACUACAGUACUAACAUUACAGUCACAUUUUAAUAGCAACAUUAUGUUAUGUCGUCUAUUUGCUGAAGAAAACUCACAUCUCCCAUGGAUAUUGUUGACUGAUGCCAGACUUUAAGAUGUGUAGCAAAGCCAGUUUUUUUUAUUAUGAUUGUUUUUUUUGCCUGUGCUUAGUAUGUUAUUCUCCCAAAAGUGGAGUGGAUCAGCCAUGGCAGGUCCAACACGAGUGAAAAAAAAAAUCUCCUCCCAUUCAGUGUGGAAGUGGUACAUUUUUGGCUUACUUUGUUCUUCUUCCCCACUAUGUUGGAAAUAGUAUACUUGAAGUUAGCUUGUUAGCUUGGUACCUUGCUAUAUGCAAAUGCACACACAUAUACGCAAUGUCAGUCUCUUAUGUUCCUGCAAUGAUCCCGUAGCCUGUGCAUUGUAUAAUGUCGUGUAAAUAAUAAUAAUAUUAGGAGUGUAAUGGUAGAAAUCUUAUUUACAAAGUCAAACAGGUUUUCUAUGCUCUAACUACAAAAAUAUUCAGUUUAUUAACUUUGUGGGAUAAUUCACUUAUCACGGCUGGGUCUGAAGGAUAUUAACCGCGACAAACGAGGGAUAACUGUAUGAUACGCUGAACCCUGAAAUAUGCCUCUCAUAGUUAUUACGUCAUUUUUAAAUUCCAUUUUACACAUUAUGAAACAAUUACAGACAGGGAGAAUUAUCCUUGGAAAAUAUGCAGUUGCACACUACAUCUUGACAAAACAUCUUCCUGUUGGAAAAUGUUGAAUGAAUUGACUUGUGAAAUAGCGCCCUCUGCUGGAUUCGUAGGACAAUGGGGGGAAAACAUGGCGGCUAUUUAAAAUCUGAGCAAAAAUGAUGGGAUGGGAGAAACUAUAAACUCUAAUGUUAUUCUUUGUCUUGAUAAUAUCCAUGUUCAAGUUGAUGCCUGUUUUACGGUAUUAAAACUCAUUAGUAGCACUUUUGUACACUGGAAACAAAUAUACUGCGUAUAAAAACAGCUGUGAUGACGUGCGACUUACAUUUCUGAUGUGAUCCAAUUUUGAAGUAUAAAGAAAUAAAUGAUCAUAUUUUGUUUAAAGCCGUCAGCAUGACCUGUGGAUCAUAUUGUGUCAGCAUGCCUUGUGUGACAGUGAGGUUAUUGUGUGUCCAAAGGUAAUAUUUCUCCACUGCCAACGAUGGAAUAAUGAAUCAAGUGUCUAAAAAGGAAAUGCUGUAAUCAUCUACCCCAUGUGAGGCAGGAAUGUGCACACUGCAACACUGUAAACGUCUAAUCAUACAGCGUGGUGCUUACUGUAUGUGUUUCAUACAGGAGCCUCUGUGAAUGGGCCUGCGCUUGUCUGCGGGGAGUCGGUUGUUGCCCAGCCUGCAGGAUGGAAGGUGACUCGGCAGGGAGAGUCUGGCCUAGCGCCAAGCUGCAUAGUAUGCAACCGGGCAGCAGAAAGCCGAAAUGAUACGCUAUUGUUUGUGAACUGACUGCGAGGCGAGCUGUUGAUAACCAAGGGCGGUCAGUAAAGAGAUGCUGUCCAUCUCUCAGGGACUUCUUAUGUAACCAUGUUUUCUCUCUCACUCUCUCUCUCUCUCUCUCUCUCUCUCUACAGACACCGCUGGAGGUUAGUGCACAGCCGUCAAUGUGUGCGGGGCUCAAAUUAGCAGGCAGCACUGGAAUGACGCACUCCUGGAACGAAGGUCUGAACGUGGGUGUUUGUGUACUUGUGUGUAAGAAUCCUUCACUUGAUUUGCCGAAUCCGUAAUUCCAACACCAAGCGACGAUGCAUAAUCAAUUUUAUUUGUGCACCCGUGCUGGCUGUGGUUAAGGCUUCUUUGUGUGUCUACACCCUACACUCAAUUGUUUAUGUGGCUGCGGAACGAGAAAAAUGUGUGUGUGUGGGCGGGUUAGCAUGAUUCUACCUGUUGUAAAGGGUGUGCGUUUUUGUGACCACUCCUUCUCACAAUGAACUUUGGCUCUUCAUUUGGACUUUAUGUUUGCUUGCAGGCACAAUGGCAGCACAUGGAGGGAGAUGUAUAAAUUAUGUAGUAUGUUAGUAAUAUUGCAGGGCAGCACACUGAAAAUCACACUAUACAUUUUUUGUCUUCCUUAAGAUUCCAGACAAAUCAUGUUGUUAAAUGCAAACUACCGUAAAUUUCGGUGUAUAACCCGCACAUGUCCACGUCCGUGAGGACAGGAGACAGGACAGGAACUCAUCAUAAGCUAGGAAAAAAUGCUGACAAUGAUAUACCAGACUGACUCACGGUGUACUCUUACCCAGAACACUAAACUCAUCACACAGCACUUAACACUUAAAUAUACAAACAUAUACCAAUACAUAUACCAAUACAAUUUGGAUUGGAUGCAUAUGAAAUACAACAGAAUAUAUUAGUAUCACAGAAACGUUAGUUGUUUGCAGCUAUUUUUUGCAAAAAUACAGUUUUUGUAUGGUUUUUAUGAAAAUUACUGCCAAAAAUAUGUAUCGAUUUAACUUUGUUUUCUUCAUGUAAAAUUACCAAAUUAUUGGGUGUCUGGAAUGAGUGAAUUGGAUUUACAUUAUUUCAUACGGGGAAAAAAACAUUCAUUUUUUUGGACUUUUUUUCAGACCAUUUGAAACAGAAUAAUAACCAAAACCGAGCUCCCACUAUAUAAGAUUUGAGCUGUGGGGUGAAGCUUGGGAACACAAGACCGUGGUUGAAGAUGGCAACGACAAUGCAGAAUAUCGUAGGAUUAUUUGUGAUGCACAAUGAUGAAUCAUUGUGUGUGUGUGUGUGUGUGUGUGUGUGUGUGUGUGAAUUCCAUUGGCUUCUUGUUGUUCACCCACAUCUGUCACCCAUUGAAAGAGGGUUAUGCCUGUUGCCUCCUUUAAAAGCACCUUUAAUGGUAUUGCAUAAAAUGAUGAGUCACAGUGCGUCAACCUCACACACACACACACACACAUACACUCAUAUAACAGUAAAUGUACCAUUCCAAUUUAAUUAUGUUGAAAAUAUGAUAGGAUCCUUGAGAUUUAUUCAUUUUUUUCAUCUGUUCCCCAGCUUCUGUCAUGUGAGUGUGUGACAUUUUAAUGCGUCAAUAAUUAACAUUUAUUGUUCUUGAGUCAUGCGCUUCAUGUCAAAAUAAACACACACACUGAAGGAACAGGAAACAACUAUCAUGAGCCAAGAAUGAACAAACAGUUCAGACUAACUCUGAAGAGAUCCUGUGGACAUUUUGUACCGUGUUGGUAUCAGUGACAUUUUUGCCUGAGGAUAUUCAUUUUUCAAACAUUUGGCUGAAAGCCACAAUGGCAAAAGAAAUGUCCCAUUGAAAAUACAAAAUGCUAAAAUGCUUUUAAAAAAAAACACAGUACCAUCUGGUGGAUAUGCCCAUUAUACAAAAAUUAGGUUUAAAAAAGUCCAUUAUAAAUCUUUAUUUCCCAUGGUAACAUGUCUUUAUUGGUGGACAAGCCUGGAUGCCACCCAUGAUAAAUGACAACAACUGAUUUAGUGCGUGCCUGCUAUUACUCUGUUUGCCGUUCCAAGAAUCCUGACCUUUAUGAAUAGUUGGGCGCUCACUGUGUGGUUCACCUUUGCCCUCCACUUCCUCGUGACAAAAAAAAGACUGAAACACAAACAUGGCGUCAGCAAGUCUUUUUUUAGCAGGAUGAGAGGCAAGGGGUCACACGUGUGCGGUGUUCUUUUUUUAAAUGCCGUUCUAACCCCGCUAUGUGUGACCAUAGAUCAUGAUCUCUAUUGGGAAACAUAGCCCUCUUUCUUUCCAGCGAAGUGCUUCUCUGAGGAGCUUCAUUUGCUUACACCUGUGACCCAGUUAGUGCCACUACACUCUGGAGACUGUGAUUGGUUAAAGAGGCAGCCCACUAAUGAUAUGCCAACGGUGUAUCAUUUAUGAGUGGAGUCAUUUGAAUUUUUACACUGAUGUAAUGCUGAGUCAGGACACCAGACUCGAAUUGCUCGAAUUGUGACUGCAGAGACGACACGGUGGCCAGUCUCCAUGUCUCUAUUGGUCAGUCUACACGUGGUUCAUAAUACAAGCAGGACCAAUGAUUGGUUGGUUGCGUCACUCACUCUGGAUUAGAGUAGUGAUUGGUCACUCAUUUUUAUUGUUGUCAUUUGUCAGGAAAACUGUUAAGAUUGGUCCGUACUCAUGCCAAUCAUUACACAUGGCAUUCGUGAUUGGCCGGUUGUGAUUGCUCUGUUUCUUUGUUUAUUCUUCAUUGGUGAGUCUACAUGUUGGUCAUACAACAACGAGGACCCUAUGAUGUCCGUUUUAGUGGAAUUAUGACAGAUGGGAUGGGUCAGUUGCUUCACUCACUCCUCAUUGGUCAGUCUACUUGUCAAUCGUUACAGAGCACAGCAGGAUCCUCAGUACCAGUUUACGUCGCACCGAGGAACUAAUGUAUACAUGUUGUUUACAAAGUUUUAUUAUUUGUUUACUUUUUUUAUUUGAAAGAAGAUGCUAGGUGGGUCAUUAGUUGUUUUUUCCGAAAAGAUGUAUCUGUAUAAGGUGCAGUAUAAGAGCAAAUACGCACUGAAACACUAGUAUGAACUCAUGUACUGAAGAACUCUCCCUGGAUGAUUGUUCCUGUCUUUGACCUUUGGUUUCUGAGCGUGGACGUGGUCAAAGAAAGCAAAUGAUCGUGUCAUAUUGCUUUGGGCUAUAGAAAGAAGUUGGCAGGGCCGGUGGGACUGACCCCUCUCUUUGCCUCUGGCGUCACCAUGGAGACGCUGGCUCUUUUUAUAGAGUUCCUCUCAUUCUCUUGGUUGUUUACCAUUCAGUGCACUGAAGGCUAAGUGCAAUUGUGGAGUAGUUGACUGCGGCGUUGAGAAGAUGCUUUGGGUGUGAUGUCCUGCAGGUUUGAGCAAGGCACUACACAUUACACAAGUGUGGGUUUGUAACAAAAUCCUAUUGAUGUUUUAACACCUUUUUCCCCCUGAAUCAGUCUCCUGGCCUUGCUGGGAUCCCUGCCAGCCGCCUGUGGUAGUAGAGCAAUUGGCAUCACACACACACAUGCAUGUGCACACUUGGAUGCCUUUGGCUGUGUGUGUGUGUGUGUGUGUGUGUGUGUGUGAGACAUAUUUUUUCUUCAUUUACACCUUUCCAAACAUCAAGGGAGGCACUCACCUAUCAUUUCACAAACAAGACACGCUUGCAGAAAACAGUAUAAAGGGGAGACAUGUUGCUGCAUGCUUUGAAUGGGAAAGGGUAGCACCAUGUGGCGGACAAUUGACUUUUCAAAUAAUUGAAAGUCAAUUAUUCAAAUAAUUAUUCAAAUAAUUGAAAGUCAAUUGUCCAAAUUGAAAACCAUGAAUUCAUUCAUUCUACCGCUUAACCUCAGGAGGGUCGCGGGGGUGCUGGAGCCUAUCCCAGUUGUCUUCGGGCGAGAGGCGGGGUACACCCUGGACUGGUGGCCAGCCAAUCACAGGGCACAUAUAGACAAACAACCAUUCACACUCACAUUCAUACCUAUGGACAAUUUGGAGUGGCCAAUUAACCUAGCAUGUUUUUGGAAUGUGGGAGGACACCGGAGUACCCGGAGAAAACCCACACUUGUUUGGGGAGAACAUGCAAACUCCACACAGAGAUGGCCAAGGGUGGAAUUGAACUCGGGUGUCCUAGCUGUGAGGCUUGCAUGCUAACCACUCGGACGCCAUGCAGCUCAUUAGUUUCUGUUAAGCUAAAUGUGGUUUUCAAUGACCCAAUAUAUGUCAUAAGAAACCAGUGUGUUGAAUUUUGUUAGCUUUACCAUUUUAGGCUAAUUCAAGGGUAGAGAUGAUUGUUCUGAAAUGUUUUCAAAAUGAAUAUCCGCUGGCUAAUUGUACCUAGAAUUAAUCAUAUGCCCAUUGUUUGUUUUUUAAUGGCCUGGGGCACAUGGUAGAAAUAAUAUUAAACAAAAAACUGCAAAAAAAUAGGACAGACCCUCAAUCUAAAGAGAUAAAGCUGAAAUGUUGAUACCAAUAAAUAAAUAAGACUAACAAAGUGGCCUCUGGCGUUGUCUUAAGCUACCUAUAACCUACCUACAGUGUAACUUCCUCUUACACAUUCAAAAUAAACAGACAUACCUCCAGUGGGUGACAAAGCCCAUCGAUCAUCGACUCGUCUGUGGGUGUGCGUUUCCUCCUCUUUACUCACAUUUUUUGGCUUGCUUCAUGAGAGACACACCUACUUUGUUUUGUAGGACAGGACACACACACAGAGUGAGAGAGAGUGAGAGAGAGUGAGAGAGAGCAGUGUGUAACUGUCAGUGUCAGGCUAUGCUCAGAGUCCGGAACUUCAGUCCCAUUUAGAUGAUGAAGAAAAAGUGAAGAUGGACACAUAAAUGGAUGGAGAAUUUUGGAUUUGUGAAGAAAAAGUGUGUGCUGCUAAUAAAAAGGAGAGGAUACACACUUACCUUAUGGAUGCAUUGUGGAUCAAUAUGGAGGAUGACGUGCUCAUCAAGCGUAGGAGUCAAGCGUAGAGACACCAAUAUCUCUGUGUAUGUGCCUCGACAAGUCACUUCCUGGGAGAGAAUGCAACAGGAAGCCAGCAGACAAGCCAACAAGGAGAAUGCAGCCCACCUCGACAAGGAGGCCUUUCUUUCCCAAGUUGUGUGUAUGUGUGUGUGGUGCUGAGGCGGAUAGUGUGCAUAAAAAGCUUAAAGGGCAAGUUUUUUCAAUCAUUGAGAAUACAGAGUUUGCAGCUGACAUCCAAAAGGGAUUUGCCUGAUAGUAUUUGGACUUGGUAUUUUUGCAAUAGGGACUAUUAAACAUCUUAUUGAGGCUCUAUGACUAAAGUGUUUACGUUUGGGUUUUAAAAACAGCAGAGCGCUCCUGUCAUACACAACAACACAAGAUCUUUGACUGGCAUGAACAGACUGUUUCUGUCCUUAUUUCUGACUUUGUGGUUUAAUUAAUGACUCCUAUGGAAUGGAGUGAAACUCUUAGCUUUCUAUCGCAAAAAGACUUGAAAUACCUGAGAUCACCUACACUGCCUAACUUUCAAUUUAAUACAAUCAUUUUUGACGGGUUUAGUGACACCUAGUGGUGAUUGACUUAAUUGCAUCUUGAUAUGUGAAUGGGCAAAAGAGAAGUGGGAGCAAAAACAAGCGCAAUAAUCAGUUAAUGAUAUAUGUUGCCAUUAAACCAUUGAAUUCAUGCUAUUUAAAAUCUUCUGUGCUAAGGAGUACCCAACAUUGCGCCACGUUUCUUGAACAUUUUCUUGGAUAUUUCAACUCCAUUCCUCAUAAUAUUAAGUUUAUUCUUAUAAAAUUGAGACAUUUUUUUCUCAUUAGAAUACCACUUUGUUUUUUUCUUUUUGUAAAUGUCAUCAUAAAUUAUUUCCAUCAUAUUUUGACUAUUCUAGCAACAAGGUCUUAAUUUUGCAAAAAUUACCACUUUAUUCGUUGUUUUUUUUGUCUGAUUAAAAUUUGAAUAUUUUUUCUUCUGUUUUCCCCAUAAUAUUUUGACUUUAUUCUUGUAAAAUUACCACUUAUUUUGUUUUACAUUUUUUGCUGUUAUUUUGAAGUUACUUGUUAAAUUCUAUUUUCAGAAUGUGCCACAGGCACAAUAAAUACAAUAACAAACAGCCGCAGGCCGCAAAUGGACCGCAAGUUGCACUUUGGACAACUUUGAUAUAAUUUAAUGACACAUCAACUCUACAUUCCAGAAAUCUGCCACAUGAUUAGUUUUAUAUACCAGAGGUGGGAGAAAGUCUGUGUUUUGCAAGUCUUUGAUAUAACAAUUUGUAGUAAAGAUCCAGGAACUUUUUCAACUGAGGAAUAUUCCGUUUCUAUGAGAACUAAUGAGAAUUAAACCAAAAUUUGGUGCGACUGUCACAUUCUGCAUCUAUGCAAACAUAAAUAUUUGACAUUUAUGCAUGUAGACUAUUACCAUUAGUCUGGAAUAGUCUUUACCUGGCAUUUUUGCAGAACACUGAAUGAUUUUGUUAUUUUACAUCAUCAGAAUGAAACACUGGACAAAGUUUUUAGGUUGCCCAACAAUGUUCCAAUAUCAACAAUAAUGUUACAAUAUAAUUCCCUUGUAUUACACAGAAUUGUUUGAGCAAAUGCUUUCCUGUAUCCAAUAACUUGUUCCAAGAGUUUGUAAGCACACAAGAAAGGUUCAAUUUUCCUGGAAUUUUGCACCCCAGUGAUAGUAGACGUUGCAAGAUGUCUGCCCCCAGAAGCUGAUUUCACAUGGUGGUUUAGAUGUAUGUUCGCUUUGUCUAGCACCAUUUGAAAUCAGUGUUCUUGAGGACAGGAGCACGACCUCCACACCCCCACCCCACCGACCUUCAGGCAGUGUCAGGUGGGGGUCAAGCUGUUCCCUCACUCUGCUCUUUUUUCCACUACCAGAUAACCGAUUUCCUCUGGUGCAUAGAGCCCUGCUGAGUCCUUCUAGCACCAUUUGAAAUCGGUUAUAAAACCGUGGAUCAGUGCAUCUGUCCAACACACCAGUGAAAAAUAGACACACAGGUACAUAGUACAUGCAUAUUUAUUAAGAAAAUGUCACCCCCACGCAAGUCAAGGUCAAAGUCCGACAGCAUUUGCAUUCCUUUUCCUGUCGCCACUGGGUGGCGCUGAGACAAAUUCAGGAAGUGAAGUUUUUUUUGUGUCGGGAAAAAUCAGAUACUGAUAUCACAUUUUGACACUGAUAUCGGGUUGAUAAUUAUCGGACAUUCCUAAAAAUAUGAAUUUCAAUAUUCUGAUAUAUGAAAAAAUACUGUUUGUUACCCUCGUCUGCAUUGCUUUUCAGACGAGUCUUUGCUACUUUGCUAAUGCAGUGGAACCUUGGUUAGCGUCAUUAAUCCAUUCCAGAACAUCUGACUCUAAACAAACACACUGCAACUGAAUCCCACCCAUAAGAAAUAAUAAAUCCACAAUGAAUCCAGUUAGUGGAUGAAUGUGCUGUAGCCCACAGCAAAAAGUACCCCGGCCCGCACUUUGGACACCCCUGUGCUAUAUAGGAACUAGGAAAAUACUCACCAUAUGCAAAGAACACAGGAGGUAUAGGUCAAAUCUAUCACACUGACACAAAACACACAAACGUAUCCCUUCCUUGCUGGCUCAACUAAAAUAGUGUGCUAAUUACAAAGAAGAGACCGUUGCGUCGCGUGAGAAAACUUGCAAUAUGAGGUGGCAAGGCAGGAAACACAAAUAAGAGUCCAACCGGAACUAACCACCAACCACUUCACCUGUCACACAGACGAUGACAUCACCUCUGGUCUAAAGUGAGUUGAUGAAGGUUGUUUACAUUUAAUCUAAAUGGAAUGAAGUCAAAGCAGGUGUUAGAGACAGCAAGAUCAUCCAAAACAAUGAAUACAACCAAAAAAUACAUACGUUGUUUUUUUUUUUUUAGCACCUAAUGGUGACUAUAGCUGGCGUAUAACCUUUCAAUUCGUUUUAAUAACAUUAAUGGACCAAAGGUAAUGAUUAGGAAACGCCUCGUCAAAGAAGUGUAUGUACUUAUGUUAAUAAUAAAAAACCAGCAAGAUUUUAAAAUAGCAGUCAAGCUAGCACUGUAUCGUUACGGCUGUCCUGCAAACAAACGCAGUUGCGCCAAAAUGGCACUAGAUGUCAGCAAAAGCCCACUUAUGAUCAAAACUUCAGCACUACAAAAACAAUACACACUUUUCACAUCUUUUUUAUUUUUUACACAAAACAUUAUGGUUACUUGGGGAUUUUCAGUUUAGUGUUAAAUACUGACAAACUAAACAU